rnacentral:guide_RNA from 1 species
AAAUAUAAAACAAUAAGACAGAACGUAGAUGAUAAUUAUAUGAUAUUGAU